GUCAGCAUGUGUCUGCCUCGCCUGCGUCAAGCGCAGUGUCCGACCUACGAUGUAACAGUGGCGACGAGAAACGGAAAGCAAAAACCCUGGCAAAACCUUGAAGCGCAGGACGGCAGCUACGCUACGGGGCGACGACUCGACGAUGGCACACCAGCAACUGCCCGACUUCGACGACGAAAGAGACAACUGGAAAGCCUAUGUUAUCAAGGCAGAGGCAUACUUUGAGGCAACGGGUGUGAAGGAGUCGGCAAAGAAACGGGCACUUUUGGUGGCAGCUUUAAGCACGCGCACCGUUCAAAUAUUAGCAGGACGAGUAGCGCCGAAGAAGCCGAAUUCUUUGGAAUACGAAGACGUCGUGAAAGUCUUGGACGAGUUUUUUUUAUCCCAAGCGCCAUGAGAUUACCGAAAGCUUUCGCUUCUUCAACCGCUGCCAGCUUGACGGCCGAGAAUUCAUCCUGGUCACAGAUCACCAGCCGCUCCUGGGCCUGCUGAUCGAGACCGCAUCGGCCCACUACGCCUCUGGCUGCUGCUCGCAUA